rnacentral:rRNA from 1 species
AAUUUGGGACAAUGUGGGAAACCCUGACCCAGCAACGCCGCGUGAAGUAUGAAGGCUUUCGGUUUGUAAACUUCUUUGAUCAGGGAAGAAACAAAUGACGGUACCUGAAGAACAAGCCACGGCUAACUACGUGCCAUCAGACGCGGUAAUACGUAGGUGGCAAGCGUCAUCCGGAUUUACUGGGUGUAAAGGGCGUGUAGGCGGUUCUGCAAGUCGGGUGUGAAAUUUCCGGGCUUAACCCGGACGGGUCACCCGAAACUGCGGAACUUGAGUACUGGAGAGGAUAGUGGAAUUCCUAGUGUAGCGGUAAAAUGCGUAGAUAUUAGGAGGAACACCAGUGGCGAAGGCGGCUAUCUGGACAGUAACUGACGCUGAGGCGCGAAAGCGUGGGGAGCAAACAGG